UCUAAUAUGGCAGAUUAGUGCAUUGGUCUUAAACUCCAAUUAUAAAAUUACUUUUUUUUUAGAA
rnacentral:tRNA from 1 species